rfam:Myotis brandtii contig311591, whole genome shotgun sequence.
UGCAGUUCUCAGGUGACGCACCCCGGAAUUGGUUCCCUCCUCUCUGGUUCCUGGUGCGUCACCUGAGAGCCUCA